CAGUAGCCGCGGUAAUACGAAGGGUGCAAGCGUUACUCGGAAUUACUGGGCGUAAAGCGUGCGUAGGUGGUGGUUUAAGUCCGUUGUGAAAGCCCUGGGCUCAACCUGGGAAUUGCAGUGGAUACUGGGUCACUAGAGUGUGGCAGAGGAUAGUGGAAUUUCCGGUGUAGCAGUGAAAUGCGUAGAGAUCGGAAGGAACAUCUGUGGCGAAGGCGACAAUCUGGGCCAACACUGACACUGAGGCACGAAAGCGUGGGGAGCAAACAGGAUUAGAUACCCGUGUAGUCCCUGUCUCUUAUAA
rnacentral:rRNA from 1 species